rnacentral:rRNA from 1 species
AAAAAUAGGGCUUUCCCAUUCUUU